AAAUCGGUUCGGCGCGGAGUUGAGGCUUACGGCCACCAUCAGGCGCAACGGGGUAUCAUUUGGAGAGCACUGGGAGUGGCAGCUCGUCCAGAAGGAGCUGGUCGGUGAAUUGCGGCCACAGAUUCGCACCAAGUAGACCGUGCGGCCGAUUGGAGGGCGAGAGUCGACAAUCACUGCCGGGAACGGCACGAAGCAAAAACCCCUGAAAGGGGUUUUUGUUUUUGAUUUCCAGUUUCAUCAUUCCGCUCGCUGCAGCAAGUCGACCGGGAAUCACGAACGACACGACGCGCCAAGGCCUCUCGGACGGCCGGUAGUCGAUUGAGGAAGCAUCGCCGGAGAAUUGCCCAUCGGCGAAUGACAGCAGCGAGAAUCGGUGAGGAGUCGAGGACCAGUCGGAACGCCCCGGUCGGAGCGAAUCCGGAAUCGCGGAUUGAACGCGGGUGCGGGUGCGAUCGAAGGAAGGCACCGAGGAAUGAGGUGCAGAGGCGUGGCGGCUGGUAGGAAGGGGCGCCCCAUGAAGUAGUAAGUAAGAAAAGAAGAAUACAAGUAGAAGUUUAAGAGAAAAGGUAGUAGGAGAAGGAAUGUAGGAAGUAGAAGAGAGGAAAUGGGUGAGGGAACCCAAAAUAUAUGUAUUAAAUUGA